UUUCGCUAGCCAUGCGAGUCAUAUGUUCUUCGUGAACAUGGCGUACUGCUCAGUAACACGUGGAUAACCUGCCCUUGGGUCCGGCAUAACCCCGGGAAACUGGGGAUAAUUCCGGAUAACGCAUAUAUGCUGGAAUGCUUUCUGCGUAAAAUGGAUUCGUCUGCCCAAGGAUGGGUCUGCGGCCUAUCAGGUAGUAGUGGGUGUAAUGUACCUACUAGCCGACGACGGGUACGGGUUGUGAGAGCAAGAGCCCGGAGAUGGAUUCUGAGACAUGAAUCCAGGCCCUACGGGGCGCAGCAGGCGCGAAAACUUUACAAUGCGGGAAACCGUGAUAAGGGGACACCGAGUGCCAGCAUCAUAUGCUGGCUGUCCGGGUGUGUAAAAUACACCCGUUAGCAAGGGCCGGGCAAGACCGGUGCCAGCCGCCGCGGUAACACCGGCGGCCCGAGUGGUGAUCGUGAUUAUUGGGUCUAAAGGGUCCGUAGCCGGUUUGGUCAGUCCUCCGGGAAAUCUGAUAGCUCAACUAUUAGGCUUUCGGGGGAUACUGCCAGGCUUGGAACCGGGAGAGGUAAGAGGUACUACAGGGGUAGGAGUGAAAUCUUGUAAUCCCUGUGGGACCACCUGUGGCGAAGGCGUCUUACCAGAACGGGUUCGACGGUGAGGGACGAAAGCUGGGGGCACGAACCGGAUUAGAUACCCGGGUAGUCCCAGCCGUAAACGAUGCUCGCUAGGUGUCAGGCAUGGCGCGACCGUGUCUGGUGCCGCAGGGAAGCCGUGAAGCGAGCCACCUGGGAAGUACGGCCGCAAGGCUGAAACUUAAAGGAAUUGGCGGGGGAGCGCAACAACGGGUGUAGCUUGCGGUUUAUUGGACUCAUCGCCGGACAACUCACCGGGGGCGACAGCAAUAUGUAGGCCAAGCUGAAGACUUUGCCUGAA
rnacentral:rRNA from 1 species